rnacentral:rRNA from 1 species
AACGAACGCUGGCGGCGCGUCUUAAGCAUGCAAGUCGAACGGCAAGAGAAGAGCUGCUCUUCUCCUAGAGUGGCGGACUGGUGAGUAACACGUGGGUGAUCUACCCUUGAGAUGGGGAUAGCCGUUAGAAAUAGCGGGUAAUACCGAAUACCCUCACGUUCAUAAAGGGAUGUGAGGAAAGGAAGCUACGGCUUCGCUCGAGGAUGAGCCUGCGUCCCAUUAGCUAGUUGGUGAGGUAAAGGCCCACCAAGGCGACGAUGUGUAUCCGGCCUGAGAGGGUGAUCGGACACAUUGGGACUGAGAUACGGCCCAAACUCCUACGGGAGGCAGCAGCUAAGAAUAUUCCGCAAUGGACGGAAGUCUGACGGAGCGACGCCGCGUGGAUGAAGAAGGCUGAAAAGUUGUAAAAUCCUUUUGCUGAUGAAGAAUAAGGGUAGGAGGGAAUGCCUAUCUGAUGACAGUAAUCGGCGAAUAAGCCCCG